rnacentral:misc_RNA from 1 species
GCGCUGAAGAUCAGUUGAAUUUUGCGCGCAGCCCAGGGCGGAUGUGUUAGCGGCGAGAAACCGAAAAAGUCACCACGAUAGAAUAAGAAUCGCAGUUGGAGUCUAGUGCUAUCCAGAUAGUCGCGAAGAAAGUUAUUCGAAAAGUGAAAGAGUUCAGUUUUGGGUUUUGGUUUUAAGUUUUGGUUUCGAACGCGGAAGCGAGCGGGAAAAUGGAAGUGCCAGCGGGCAAUUAGUGCAGCCAGACAUAAAGACACACUCACAGCUCGAAAAUACAGCAAAACAAAAGGAUUGCGACUGUGAAUUAUAAAGUAUAAAUUAUAAGCAACGACAACACAUCCACAGCGGAAUACGCAGCGACGACAGCGACAACAAACAACAGAAAGAAACUGAUAUAAAGUUCAAAGUGCCAGCGGCAAGUGGAACCACAUGACAAGUAGACGAGCCUCGGGAGCAACCCACUGCAAAACCACCAACAACAGCAAUAUCAGCAACAACAGCAACAACAGCAACAAAAUGACAAACUGCCAAAGUUCAGUGUUCAUAGUCGUAGGCACCCUGUUCUCCAUCCUGGCAGCGGCUCAAUCGGCACCCGUUUCCACCACCACACAGGCGGAGAUCUACCUGUCCCAGUUCGGCUAUCUACCCGCCUCUGCCCGCAAUCCCGCCAGCAGUGGACUGCACGACCAGCGGACCUGGGUGAGUGCCAUCGAGGAGUUCCAGAGCUUCGCGGGACUGAACAUCACUGGCGAGCUGGAUGCGGAGACCAUGAAGCUGAUGUCCCUGCCUCGCUGCGGAGUUCGGGAUCGCGUCGGCACCGGCGACAGCCGCUCCAAGCGGUACGCCCUGCAGGGCAGUCGCUGGCGUGUGAAGAACCUCACCUACAAGAUCUCCAAGUACCCCAAGCGGCUGAAGCGAGUCGAUGUGGACGCGGAGAUCGGCCGCGCAUUCGCCGUGUGGUCCGAGGACACCGACCUGACCUUCACCAGGAAGACCUCCGGCCCCGUGCACAUCGAGAUCAAGUUCGUGGAGAGUGAGCAUGGAGACGGCGAUGCCUUUGACGGUCAGGGUGGCACCCUGGCGCACGCCUUCUUCCCUGUCUUUGGCGGAGAUGCUCACUUUGACGACGCGGAACUGUGGACCAUUGGCACGCCUCGAGGCACCAAUCUGUUCCAGGUGGCCGCCCACGAGUUCGGUCAUUCCUUGGGACUGUCCCACUCCGAUCAAAGCUCCGCUCUGAUGGCGCCCUUUUAUCGCGGCUUCGAACCCGUCUUCAAGUUGGACGAGGACGACAAGGCGGCCAUCCAGUCACUGUACGGGCGCAAAACAAAUCAGCUGAGGCCCACCAACGUGUACCCGGCCACCACCCAGCGGCCAUACUCUCCUCCAAAGGUGCCACUGGACGACUCCAUCUGCAAGGACUCCAAGGUAGACACGCUUUUCAACUCGGCGCAGGGCGAGACCUACGCUUUCAAGGGCGACAAGUACUACAAGCUGACCACGGACUCCGUGGAGGAGGGCUACCCGCAGCUCAUCUCCAAGGGCUGGCCGGGAUUGCCGGGCAACAUCGAUGCGGCGUUCACCUACAAGAACGGCAAGACGUACUUCUUCAAGGGCACUCAGUACUGGCGCUACCAAGGCCGCCAGAUGGACGGCGUCUACCCUAAGGAAAUCAGCGAGGGCUUCACGGGCAUUCCCGACCAUCUGGACGCCGCGAUGGUUUGGGGGGGCAACGGCAAGAUUUACUUCUUCAAGGGCAGCAAGUUCUGGCGCUUCGAUCCGGCCAAGAGGCCGCCGGUCAAGGCCAGCUAUCCCAAGCCCAUCUCCAACUGGGAGGGUGUUCCCAACAACCUGGACGCAGCGCUGAAGUACACCAAUGGCUACACGUACUUCUUCAAGGGCGACAAGUACUACAGAUUCCACGACGCCCGAUUUGCUGUUGACUCGGCCACGCCCCCCUUCCCCAGACCCACCGCCCACUGGUGGUUCGGCUGCAAGAACACGCCCUCGUCCACAGCACCGCAAGUGCCGAGUCUGAAUCCCAACCCGAAUCAGGGCAUUCUGCCCGGCUGGAUGUGGGGCCUGACGAACAGAUUCUUCUAGUCUAGAGGAUCUGGUGCUCAUCCGUGUGUUGUAGCCAGUCCCGUUGUAAUUUGCCAGCAUUAGUGUAAUCCAUCGCCCGCAUGAGUGAUCUCUGUCUGAAUAAAGUAAACCAUCAAUCGAAACAUACAAAACAUGCCACGCCCACGAACUGCGCCGCCUGCCGAAACGCCAAACCAAGCCAAAUAGAAAGAAACGAGUUUACAGAGUGAAGACCGUGGGCGAUCACCAGUCCAAUGACGAGCCGAUAGUUCCGGAAGUGGCCGAGCGAACCGGAAACGGAGCCAUGUC